GCUUGUUUUAAGCAUGUUUAGAUUUUAUUAGUGGUAAAGAAGACAGGUAGUCAUUAAGAAUUGGAUUUUUUGCAGUACACUGUGUUGGUUGCAGUCUGCCAGCAGAUUGUCAUAAAAGGAGCCAUUGUUUGGCUUUGCUACCACAUAGCACAUAUAGGCGUUUGCCUGGCACGUUCAUCCGUUUAUGAUUAAGGCUGUGUGCCUUCUUUUUUUCUACUCUUUUGAAGUGAUUGUCUCUUGGUUCUCUCUCUGAAAGCCAUUCUCUCACCUCCACAACACAUUUGAGGAGGAACCUCUGUUGUUGCGUACUGUUUAUGUUGCCUUUUUAUUUUAUGACAAGUAUAAAGACAAUCCCAAAUUUACAUCAUUACCUGAGGCUCUGCGUCCCACUUUCAGCACAAAAUCACCAUUUAUAAACAGAGGCCUUUUUUUUCCCAGGAAACACUAUUUAUGUCAAAACAGAAAAGGUUAAUGUGAGAGUUUUUAGUUUUCCCGUUGUUCUGUGUGCUCAAGUUCAGUUCAGACUUGUGCUGGUUGUUUCUAGAUAAUCAGAAAUGGGAUUUGUUGCAAAAUGACACUCUACAGGGAUUAUAAAGCACAUGUACUUCUGGUCACUUUCCCAUGGGUCUCCUCUCUCCUGUUCUCCAACCGUACCACUGCUCCAAAUCAAGAUGACUCGCACUUUUUUACCUUGAAAAGAGAGGUUUGAGUUCCUAAAUAAAGUAAAUCAUCUCUUUAAAAAAAAAAGUGUUUUUGUUUCUGUAGAAAGGUGAAGGAUGGAAAACUGUGCCUAUUUUGCAUUUAUGAACCUUGUAUUUCUUACCAUUUUUGCUGAUGGUCAACAACAAACUGAUGUUCCCCUUGUAUUUCAAGUCAAGACUGUAAUGUAUCUUUCCAAUUCUGCACUUUUACCCCUCUGAAUGUCAUGAACGUGUACGUGUGCGCUUGUGUCUCAAAAGCUUUGCAAUACUAAAGUG